GAAACCCUGUAGGAAUCUGGAAGGACCAUCUUCCAAGGCUAAAUACUACCUACCAACCGAUAGUGAACUAGUACCGUGAGGGAAAGGUGAAAAGUACUCCUGUUAGGAGAGUGAAAUAGUACCUGAAACCGUGUGCCUACAAGCGGUGGGAGCCCUAUGUAUGAAUGCUUGCAUUUAUACAGGGUGACUGCGUGCCUUUUGCAUAAUGAGUCCGCGAGUUACUGUAUGCAGCAAGGUUAAGCCGAAAGGUGGAGCCGCAGCGAAAGCGAGUCUGAAUAGGGCGAAUAGUUGUAUGCAGUAGACCCGAAACUGAGUGAUCUACCCAUGGCCAGGGUAAAAUUUCGGUAACACGAAAUGGAGGCCCGAACUGAUUUUGGUUGAAAACAAUUCGGAUGAGCUGUGGGUAGGAGUGAAAGGCUAAUCAAACUCAGAGAUAGCUGGUUCUCCCCGAAAUAUAUUUAGGUAUAGCCUUGCGACUGAAUAAUGGAGGUAGAGCACUGGAUGGGCUAGGGGUCUUACCGGAUUACCAAACCCAACCAAACUCCGAAUGCCAUUAUCUCGUAUUGCAGGAGUCAGACUACGGGAGAUAAGUUCCGUGGUCGAGAGGGAAAGAGCCCAGACCACCAGCUAAGGUCCCUAAUAUAUGCUAAGUGGUAAAGGAAGUGGAAACGCAUAGACAACCAGGAGGUUGGCUUAGAAGCAGCCAUCCUUUAAAGAAAGCGUAACAGCUCACUGGUCAAGUGGGUCUGCGCCGAAAAUUCAACGGGGCUUAAGCAUAUAACCGAAGCUGUGGCUUAAUUCCGAUUCGUCGGGAUUAGGGGUAGGGGAGCAUUCCAGUAGCCUGUGAAGCCAGACUGUAAAGACUGGUGGAGGUCCUGGAAGAGCUUAUGCAGACACGAGUAGCGAGAAUGUCAGUGAGAACCUGACACGCCGAAAGCCUAAGGUUUCCUGGGGAAGGUCAGUCCGCCCAGGGUUAGUCAAUACCUAAGCCGAGGCCGAGAGGCGUAGGCGAUGGGAAACAGGUUAAUAUUCCUGUACCACCAUGUGAGCGUUUGAGCGAAGGGGGGACGCAGGAGGGUAGGCCAUCCGGGUUUUGGUCGUCCUGGUUCAAGCCCGUAGGUGGGGAAGGCAGGCAAAUCCGUCUUCCUAUUUCAAACACCGAGAGGUGAUGAGGAGGAGCUUAGCUCCACAAACUGGUUGAUCCCACACUGCCAAGAAAAGCCUCGUAGCGAGCAAGCAUGUAAACCGACACAGGUAGGCAGGGAGAGCAUCCUAAGGCGCAUGAGAGAACCUUCGUUAAGGAACUCUGCAAAUUGGCUCCGUAACUUCGGGAAAAGGAGUGCCUCAUUAGCGUGAAGCGAUUAGCACGCCGAGCGCGAAGAGGUCGCAGUGAAAAAGCGGUAGCGACUGUUUAAUAAAAACACAGGUCUCUGCGAAGUCGUAAGACAAUGUAUAGGGACUGACGCCUGCCCGGUGCUGGAAGGUUAAGGGGAGGAGUUAUUUAAUUUAAUUAAAGAAGCUCCAAUCUGAAGCCCCAGUAAACGGCGGCCGUAACUAUAACGGUCCUAAGGUAGCGAAAUUCCUUGUCGGGUAAGUUCCGACCUGCACGAAUGGCGUAACGA
rnacentral:rRNA from 1 species